UCUUUUUUUUUUGUUUUUUUUAAAGAAGAAAGACACAGUAGAGAGAGACCAGAGUUGGUUGGAAGAUGAAGGGAGCGGGAGCGGGAGCAUUGUAGAGAAUUGGAGACCCAAACGGUUACCGACGAUCGCGUGGAUUACUUGGUGCUCAACAACUGAGCGAAUCAAAGGGAGAGAUGGAGGCAUCGGUAUUUGCAGUGGAAAAAAUCCUAAACUACAAAUUCAAAAACAAACGGCUUCUAGAGGAAGCAUUAACGCACUCCUCCUACACAGACUCAGCUUCUUACCAGCGGAUGGAGUUCUUAGGGGACGCGGCGCUGGGUCUUGCGCUGAGUAAUUAUGUGUAUUUGGCUUACCCUCAGCUGGAUCCUGGUCAUUUGUCUCUUUUGCGUGCUGCUAAUAUUAGUACUGAGAAACUGGCGCGUGUGGCCAUUAAGCAUGGUCUUUACAGGUUUGUUAGACACAAUGCCACUGCUCUUGAUGAUAAGGUUAAGGAAUUUAGUGAUGCUGUGAGUGGAGAAGAUGAUGAUGAUGCUUUAGUAUAUGGCGGGUCAAUAAAGGCACCGAAGAUUCUUGCUGAUAUUGUGGAGUCUGUUGCUGCUGCUGUUUAUGUUGAUGUCGAUUUUGAUCUUCAAACAUUUUGGGUGAUAUUUAGGGGUAUUUUGGAGCCAAUAGUUACCCUCGAAGACUUGCAGCAGCAACCACAACCGGUGACUAUGUUGUUUGAGCGGUGUCAAAAGCAAGGAAGGAAUGUUGAUAUUAAACAUUGGAAAAAUGAGGCCAAAAGUAUUGCCAGUGUCUAUGUAGAUGGACAAUUUAUCGCUUCCAGUUCGUCUGAGCAAAAAGAAAUUGCAAAGCUUAAUGCCGCCAAGGGGGCCUUGCUCAAACUAUCAAAUUCAUUCCCUACUAAUCUAAAUAAUGUUUCUCUUCUUGAUAUUUUUGAUGGGUCUUCUUUCGAGAUUGAAGGAGCCAAACAGAAGUUACAUGAACUUUGCGGCAAGAAAAAAUGGCCCAAACCAAAUUACAACAUUGAGAAUGAUAUGGGUCCUCCACAUGAGAAGAAGUUUGUAUGCUCAGUUCAAAUUGCAACGGUAGAUGGUAUUCUAUAUGUGACGGGAGAUGAAAGAACGAGAGUAAAGGAUGCAGAAAAUUCCGCUGCUUCAUCAAUGAUCCGUGCUUUACAGGACACUGAUUAUCUGUGAUUCUGUUCAUUUGUUUCACUCAAAUCUGCUACAUGGGAUGUUAUGCCUGACCGAUUCAGGUAAAAUAAAAGAUCAGCAAGUACAACAACCCGGCAAAACUCGAUCGACUUAUGAAUUGGGCGACCCGGGCAAAUCCUUUAGAGAGGAUAGGCAUUCAAGCUACUUUCAAUUUAAAGGAGUCAAGUGUCGAAUAAGUUCCAUUGUUUCAACAAGGGUCUCUCUUAACAUCCUCGCAUAAAUCUUCAGAAUCUGACAAUCAAUGUACACAGCCUGGCAGCAUAGCAGUAUACUGAUUUAAGAGAUAACUCUUCACUGGUUCAAUUUUGUAUUCUUAAUUAUGUUUUACGCCAAUCUUUCUUGCUGGAUCACUGAAUUUGUUUGCCGAUGCCCAUUCUAGCCCAGUAUCUCAUUCGUAAGGCCAGGUGCAUGAUGAGCUCCAACGACAACAGUACUGCCAGAAUUGAGCAACUCUGCAAAUCAGAGUCGUCUUGAUGAAAAACUAGAAUUUCCAGUUAUUGUGCGACAGUGACAACAUUUCAAUUUCAAGACCACCUUGAUUUGCAAAGGAUCAACAAAGGUUUUUCUGUAGCUGAAACGGUUUUAGUCUUGAGUUAUAUGAUCAUCUAAGAAAAUGCUUAUGGAAUAUCAGUUGUGUUGAACUUGUUAAUUGCUAGAUUAACAUUAUUGUACCUAAGCCCUACACAGCCAGCCCCUAGAAAUUAAACAAUGAACACUUCCAUCAGCUUUAGGAUAUAGGACGUCAAGUCAACUAGACAAAUUUGAUCGAUCAUGUUGUAUUUGCUAAUCCACCAAAUCUUUUAGUUUGUGAUGACAAAUUGCAGGUGGUUGAGUCCUGUUGUAUUUUUUUAGCCCA